rnacentral:rRNA from 1 species
AGGGCACCACCAGGAGUGGAGCCUGCGGCUUAAUUUGACUCAACACGGGAAAACUCACCCGGCCCGGACACCGUAAGGAUUGACAGACUGAGAGCUCUUUCUUAAUUCGGUGGGUGGUGGUGCAUGGCCGUUCUUAGUUGGUGGAGCGAUUUGUCUGGUUAAUUCCGAUAACGAACGAGACUCUGGCCUAUUAAAUAGACGGUAUAUCUAGAAAAAGUAUACCGCGCUUCUUAGAGGGACAACCGGCGUCUAGCCGCGUGAAAUAGAGCAAUAACAGGUCUGUGAUGCCCUUAGAUGUCCGGGGCUGCACGCGCGCUACACUGAAAGAAUCAGUAUGCGCCGUCGCCUAGUUCGGAAGAACCGGGUAACCCGAGCAAAUUCUUUCGUGCUUGGGAUAGGGAAUUGCAAUUAUUUCCCUUAAACGAGGAAUUCCCAGUAAAUUCGGGUCAUAAGCUCGAGUUGAUUACGUCCCUGCCCUUUGUACACACCGCCCGUCGCUACUACCGAUUGGAUGACUUA